rnacentral:rRNA from 1 species
AGCUAGUUGGUAGGGUAAAGGCCUACCAAGGCAACGAUGGUUAGCUGGUCUGAGAGGAUGAUCAGCCACACUGGAACUGACACACGGUCCAGACUCCUACGGGAGGCAGCAGUGAGGAAUUUUGCGCAAUGGGGGAAACCCUGACGCAGCAACGCCGCGUGAGUGAUGAAGGCCUUCGGGUCGUAAAACUCUGUCAAGUGGGAAGAAACUAUAUAAGGCCAAUACCCUUAUGUACUGACGGUACCACUGAAGGAAGCACCGGCUAACUCCGUGCCAGCAGCCGCGGUAAUACGGGAGGUGCAAGCGUUAUUCGGAAUUAUUGGGCGUAAAGGGCGCGUAGGCGGCCUUAUCAGUCAGAUGUGAAAGCCCUGGGCUUAACCCAGGAAGUGCAUUUGAUACUGUAAGACUUGAGUAUGGGAGAGGGAAGUGGAAUUCCUGGUGUAGAGGUGAAAUUCGUAGAUAUCAGGAGGAACACCGGUGGCGAAGGCGACUUCCUGGACCAAUACUGACGCUGAGGCGCGAAGGCGUGGGGAGCGAACAGGAUUAGAUACCCUGGUAGUCCACGCAGUAAACGGUGAGAACUAGGUGUAGCGGGUAUUGACCCCUGCUGUGCCGCAGUUAACGCAUUAAGUUCUCCGCCUGGGGAGUACGAUCGCAAGAUUAAAACUCAAAGGAAUUGACGGGGCCCGCACAAGCGGUGGAGCAUGUGGUUUAAUUCGACGCAACGCGAAGAACCUUACCUGGAUUUGACAUCUCGGUAAUCCCUUGGAAACUUGGGAGUGCCCUUCGGGGAACCUGAAGACAGGUGCUGCAUGGCUGUCGUCAGCUCGUGUCGUGAGAUGUUGGGUUAAGUCCCGCAACGAGCGCAACCCUUAUCUUUAGUUACCAGCAUUUCGGAUGGGGACUCUAGAGAUACUGCCCCGGUUAACGGGGAGGAAGGUGGGGAUGACGUCAAGUCCUCAUGGCCUUUAUAUCCAGGGCUACACACGUGCUACAAUGGUCGGUACAAAGGGUCGCCAACCUGCGAAGGUGAGCUAAUCCCAGAAAGCCGACCCAAGUUCGGAUUGGAGUCUGCAACUCGACUCCAUGAAGCUGGAAUCGCUAGUAAUCGUGGUUCAGCAUGCCACGGUGAAUACGUUCCCGGGCCUUGUACACACCGCCCGUCACACCAUGAGAGUUGAUUGUACCGGAAGUUGUCAGGCCAACCUUUCGAGGAGGCAGGCACCUAUGGUAUGAUUGAUGAUUGGGGUGAAGUCGUAACAAGGUAGCCGUUGGGGAACCAGCGGCUG